CAGCCGUAAACUAUGCGCGUUAGGUGUACUGGUGACCACGAGUCACCGGGGUGCCGAAGGGAAACCGUGAAACGUGCCGCCUGGGAAGUACGGUCGCAAGGCUGAAACUUAAAGGAAUUGGCGGGGGGAGCACCCACAACGGGUGGAGCCUGCGGUUUAAUUGGACUCAACGCCGGGAAAUCUCACCGGAUAAGACAGCUGAAUGAUUCGUCAAUCUGAAGGUUUUACAUGACUAGCUGAGAGGAGGUGCAUGGCGUCAGUGACU
rnacentral:rRNA from 1 species